UUGGAGGGCAAGUCUGGUGCCAGCAGCCGCGGUAAUUCCAGCUCCAAUAGCGUAUAUUAAAGUUGUUGCAGUUAAAAAGCUCGUAGUUGAAUUUCGGGAUCAGAGUGUCGGUCGUGCCUCGGUACGCACUGGUAUUAUUGGUUCCUACCUUCUGAAGAACCGCGAUGUCAUUAAUUUGGUGUCGUGGGGAAUCAGGACUGUUACUUUGAAAAAAUUAGAGUGUUUAAAGCAGGCUUACGCUUGAAUACAUUAGCAUGGAAUAAUGAAAUAGGACGUUUGAUUCUAUUUUGUUGGUUUCUAGGAUUGACGUAAUGAUUAAUAGGGAUAGUUGGGGGCAUUAGUAUUCAAUUGUCAGAGGUGAAAUUCUUGGAUUUAUUGAAGACUAACUACUGCGAAAGCAUUUGCCAAGGAUGUUUUCAUUAAUCAAGAACGAAAGUUAGGGGAUCGAAGACGAUCAGAUACCGUCGUAGUCUUAACCAUAAGCUAUGCCGACUAGGGAUCGGAUGAUGUUAAUUUUUUAAUGACUCAUUCGGCGCCUUACGGGAAAC
rnacentral:rRNA from 1 species